CGAAUAAUUAUAUUGUCGAUCCUCGCUGGCAUGUCAUUUAGAUAAAUAUAUACGAAGUGACUAUAUGACCGGCAGCCGGUCACGGUUUAUAAAAUACUAAAUGGCCGGCAGUCUAGUGACUAUUGUUAAAGUUUAAUUUUUAUAAGAUAAACCUAUCCCCAACCCCAAACCCUUUUCUAACCUUAACCCCUAACCCCUAACCCUAACCUUUUGAGAGUUAGAAAAGUCGGGAAAAAAAGUUUAAAAAAUUUUAACAAAAAACAAUGCUAAGUCAGACAAAACACAUCGCGACCCCGACUGCGCUUAACUUUCCGCACGCAGCGCCCUUGCCGUAUGAGCUAACGGCAAGCUCGGUAAAAGUUAACGCAAACAAAAGUUUUUAUAUUCAACUAUAGUCACUAGACUGCCGGCCAUUUAGUAUUUGAUAAACCGUGACCGGCUGCCGGUCAUAUAGUCACUUCGAAAUAUAUAUCGUACAUUAAACGUUGUACUGUUUACUGUAUAUUAACUGCUGACAAUUUCGUCGUCGAUACGGCUUCCACUAUUGGCACAC